rnacentral:rRNA from 1 species
ACAGCAGUCGCCGCGGUAAUACAGAGGGUGCAAGCGUUAAUCGGAAUUACUGGGCGUAAAGCGCGCGUAGGUGGUUUGUUAAGUUGGAUGUGAAAUCCCCGGGCUCAACCUGGGAACUGCAUUCAAAACUGGCAAGCUAGAGUAUGGUAGAGGGUGGUGGAAUUUCCUGUGUAGCGGUGAAAUGCGUAGAUAUAGGAAGGAACACCAGUGGCGAAGGCGACCACCUGGACUGAUACUGACACUGAGGUGCGAAAGCGUGGGGAGCAAACAGGAUUAGAUACCCCUGUAGUCCCUGUCUCUUAUAC